rnacentral:rRNA from 1 species
UGUACACCUUGCCAGCCACACCCCCACGGGUCUACAGCAGUGAUUAAUAUUAAAAAUAAGUGAAAGCUUGAUUUAGUCAUAGUAAGAACAAAGAGUCGGUAAAUUUCGUGCCAGCCACCGCGGUUAUACGAAAGACCCAAAAUAAUGACCCCCCGGCGUAAAGCGUAGCUAGAAUUUACUAGAAUUAAGGACAAACACCUUCUCUGCUGUAAAACGCUUAGGAAGACAAGAAUAUCUUAACCUUAUAAGCCCAUUUGACACUACGAAAGCUGAGACACAAACUGGGAUUAGAUACCCCACUAUGCUCAGCCCUAAACUUAGAUAGCAAGAUACUACCUAUCCGCCAGAGAACUACAAGCAAAAUACUUAAAACUCAAAGGACUUGGCGGCAUUCCAUAUCAACCUAGAGGAGCCCGUCCAAUAAUCGAUAAUACGCGCUCAACCCAACCAUUUUUGGCCACUCCAGCCUAUAUACCGCCGUCGUCAGCUAACCUUGUGAAAGAAAAGUAGUAAGCACAACAGCCCCCGCAAAAACGUCAGGUCAAGGUGUAGCUAAUAAAAUGGGUGUGAUAGGCUACAUUUUCUACCAUAGAAAACAACGGAAAAUACAAUGAAACCUUGUAAUAGAAGGUGAAUUUAGAAGUAAACUAAGAAAGGAUCACUUAUUUAACAUCGACCGAAGGAACGGAC